CUUCCACAAGUACUUGCAAUUAGAGAUGCACCGAUUGACUGGCCGGUGACCGGAAUUGGCCGGUCUUCACGUGACCGGCUAUGACCGGCAGGUCAGACUGAUAUAUGCCGAUUAUAUGCUGGUCAAAUGCACUCGGGUGCCGCAUGUUUAACAUCGCGCAACAUCAGCAUCACACGUGCACACGCACUGCCGCUCCAUCAGCUGUUCAUGAAAUGUCAGAAAAGCUCUGCAGAGCAGUCUGCGAUACUGAUCUCAGGCGAACGGUCAGCCACUCUCUCUCCCCUCUGAGGCUGAACAACUGGAACAAACCGCAAUCACAGCUACAGUAUAUCAGAAAAUAGU